GUUCAAAUGAGGAAGGGAUUAUGGUGGAUACCUAGGCACCCAGAGAUGAGGAAGGGCGUGGUAAGCGACGAAAUGCUUCGGGGAGUUGAAAAUGAGCAUAGAUCCGAAGAUUCCCAAAUAGGUUAA
rnacentral:ncRNA from 1 species